CUUUUUUUACAUCAAUCUAUGCUUGUGCAAUAGGAGCAUCAUUUCUGCAUGCUUUGGAAAAUCUUAGGCAUAGAAACUGAGGGCGUCUUGAAUGGAUUAGGUCUGGGCAGAGAUGUCCUAGUUCAAGAUUUUGCCAAAAUGUGCAUGGUGACGCAUGCAAGUAGACUAAACACAGAAGAGAAGUCUUAGAAUGAAGUCAUUACCCAUAUAAAGUGGCAUCUGAUCCCUGCCUUGAUAUCUUCAGGGAGCUCAGAACUCAGAUCUUAAAAUGGCAAAGGAUGUAGCAUUUCCUGGAAUGGCUCAUGACAGAUAUUCUUCCUCUGAGUACUAGUUUAGACUUACAGUGGGAGGAAAUCCCAGCAGAUAACAGGAAAAAAUAGUUUUGAUUUUAAGAAGAAAAGAGCUUAAAAGGAAACAGGAAGCUGAUGUUGGCAGUCUGACCUGUGCUGCAUGAGGAAUCUGAUUUCAAAAGCCUUCCCAAAUGCAGGCUUAAGGGAUGCAAACUGCCAUGACGUUUGCAGCAAUUGAGGAAUUCUGUCAUUGGCUCACACUGCUCUCUCUUUUAUAGGAAAGUGAAAGCAUAAGACUUAGUAUGUCACUGUUAUGUGCUUAUGCAUUCUUGAUCCUACAAAAACUGCAAAAAAAAAAAGACUAUGAAAAGGUCAGAGUCCACCAAGAAAUGCAGGUGUUCAGCAGAGCUCUGGAAGCGAAUAGGAGGAGGUCACCAGUGCUAUGGCUGAAGCUUUUCAUGAAUUUCCAUAGAAUCUUAAUGAGUUCUAAAGAACGUUGCUCUUAUUUCUGAAACCGUUCAUUUUGAUCUCUUUUAGAACUAAGAGGCUAGUAACAGAUAACUUAUUUGUACAGAGCCUUGUUUUGAAACAGCACAUUGAAAAAAAAAAAAUGAAACCUCAGUCUGCAGCACCUGACUUGGAUUUCUGAAGAACUCUGUCACCUUCCAUCCACUCUGGUGUGUCUGUGGAGUCACGUACUGGGGCUGAGGCAAACACAAUGUUGUGUUUCCUUCUGUUUCACCUGCGUUUACUCAUUGUUUUCUUGGAUUAUUUUUUCUGGCAUUUCUCCUGAGCGCUGCGAAGGUACAUGGAAAACAAACAUGACUGCUGACAGUCAACAUGGCUUCACUAAUGGCAAAUUGCACCUGACAAAUUUGGUGGCCGCCUUUGACAGGGUGACAGCAUUGGGUAAGGGAAAAGCAGUGGAUGUUAUCCAGUUGGACUUGUGCAAAGUGUUUGACGCUGUCCCGCAUGACAUCAUUGUCUUUAAAUUGGAGAGACGUGGAUUUGAUGCAUGGACCACUCAGUGGAUAAGGAAUUGACCAGAUGGUCACACUCAGAGUUGUGGUCCAAGUGGAGACCAGUGAUGAGUGGCAU
ensembl:lncRNA